UGCAUACUAGCCCGUCCAGCCAACCUGUGGUACUCCGAAUGCAGUUGGACAUCUCCAGUUUGGUCACUUCUGUGCUAGCAUCGUGUGAUUUAUCGUCAGCUAUUUGAACCAAAUACCUGUAUGGCAUAUGUCCCUGCUUGAUCAACUGCUCCACAAUCAUAGUCUACAGGUAUCUAUUAUAUGUGUACGUGUUAGCUCAGUAAACAUUGUCGCCACCACACAUAUUGCCAAAAUAUUGAUUUCGCUUAAUUUCGGUUGCCUCACAACAAAUUGUAGCUCUAUGUGAUCUCUUUAACCACAUGGUUCAGUUAGAGCAGAACGUGACACUAGCUAUGGCAGGUACCACAGGCCAACAUAAUGUCUGAAGUAGUCUGCGUUGUUGCAGUAUAUUUAGAUCACAUCGAAAUCGGGUUAUGUUGUCAUUUACUCUGAUUUGGUCUUCAAAUUUUUUAUACAAAUUCAGGUAGCCUUUUUAUUCUACAUAUGCAUCUUAUUGUUCUGCUAGAAUACUAUGCAGUGUUUUUCCCACCCAAUUAUCUGCUGGCCAUUUUUUGAUUAGAUUAUCAUAGUAUAACUAAUCUACCUACCAUUGUGCAGCCAGAUAGGUAUGUCAAGAUUGCCGAGCUCGGCGGUGCCAUUCAUCUUACCUUUCUUCUUCAAGAAUUUGGAUGAGCUGCUAUACUAGGUUACAAUUAUGGGUGCAAAAAUACUGCAAGAUUAACCUUUAUAAUAAUGCUUGUUUGGGUGGCUUCCCCCCUCCCCCACCCUAUUUUUUUGCACUCCGUCGAUUGUGUGCUAUAUAUUAUACACGUGCUCCCUAAUUUCCCUCUUGAAACACCAAACUUAUUCAGCACCUAUGUGCCACCUGCGUGAUUUGGGUAUAAUGAAAAAAAAAUCAUUCGAGGCUGCAUUGAUUUGUUUUUUCCCUAACUAUCUUUUCUCACUAUCAUUGUCCUAAUCAGGUAUUGUGAUGUCUACAUCUAAUGAUACACCGGUUCCUAAUGUGUGCCGCCGGCGCUGGCAAUAUACCUUUACCGAUUCACCAACAUGUUUUAAAUUAGUUGCAUAGCUUUCGCUUACUUAUUACAAUCAAGUUCUACUUAUUUAUAACACCAACCUGCAUAACUUAUACAGAUAAUGAAAUAAUUUCUUUUUCUACCUUCAUGCACUCCAAGUUGUUGCACUAUCGGGUGGUGAUGACAUCUUUCCUAUGGAUUUUCAUUUGCCUUCUAGACGUUCUGUGCGGCGGAAGUUGUCUGCUCAGCCCAUCGAUUUCCCGCGGCCAGAUUCUGCGACAGCUGCUCAAUCACGCAAGAAGCGUAACGCAUGUAUGCUGGCAUCCUCAAGGCAGAGUUCGUCAUCAACCACCCAUGCCUUUCUAACUCCAUGAACUAAGCAUCUUUAUCCAAACUUCUAAAAGAAACAAAUGCUCAUCUACUGUAAACACUUGAUUACUUUGAAGGGCAAAAAAAAUCUUUUGCUAUAAUCACGAUGAAGCCACCUAGAGCAUUUCUUGCCAGCAUGUUUGAUCAGUUAAGCAAUACCUACAUGUGUUCUUGGUAAGAUUAGAAUAGACAAGUAUCACAUCAUAUAUGUUCUCAGUAAGUGAUGUACUCCUGAAUCCCCACAAAGAUUAAAAGUGACUUUUCCCUUAUCUGUCGUCCUUGCCAAACUAUAGUGUUUAUUAUAUGGCGACCUUGCUUUCAAGUUCUAUAUAUGAAAUUUGUCUUCAG